CAGUUGGCUACAACGAACGGAGAACUUUUCCUAGAAAGUAACAAAAUGACUAAAACGUGUACAGCACUCGGUUGCAGUAAUCGAAGAACAGUAGAAAACCGGUCAAAGGGCAUCACUUUCCACAGCGAUGGAGCAGCGUUUAGCAGAGGAGCUUCUGAAGUCUGAGAAAAACACAUGUAGGCCUACAGGAUGAAAUUAUCUUUGUGAAGAGGAGGAACGCUUUUCAGAGGAAGCUUCUUUCACGACGUUGUUCGAGCUGGCAUGAUGGUAUGUGAGUACGAGUGAGGCCAUCGUUUAAGGAAGGCAGGUUACAUUUC